rnacentral:misc_RNA from 1 species
CCAUAUGAGGCUGCUAGGACCUCGGUUAGCCUUGCUAUCUAUUCACCCAUUGUCCUUUGCGUACUUCUUGUUUCCUUCGGUGGGUCCGCCCGCCGACUAGGACAACAUAAACCAUUUGUAAGUUGCAAUCAGCGUCAUGAAAAAAUUAAUAGUUA